CUAGUGGCGCACGGGUGCGUAACGCGUGGGAAUCUGCCCUUAGGUACGGAAUAACUCAGAGAAAUUUGUGCUAAUACCGUAUGAUGUCGAAAGACCAAAGAUUUAUCGCCUAAGGAUGAGCCCGCGUAAGAUUAGCUUGUUGGUGAGGUAAAAGCUCACCAAGGCGACGAUCUUUAGCUGGUCUGAGAGGAUGAUCAGCCACACUGGGACUGAGACACGGCCCAGACUCCUACGGGAGGCAGCAGUGGGGAAUAUUGGACAAUGGGCGAAAGCCUGAUCCAGCAAUGCCGCGUGAGUGAUGAAGGCCUUAGGGUUGUAAAGCUCUUUUACCAGGGAUGAUAAUGACAGUACCUGGAGAAUAAGCUCCGGCUAACUCCGUGCCAGCAGCCGCGGUAAUACGGAGGGAGCUAGCGUUGUUCGGAAUUACUGGGCGUAAAGCGUACGUAGGCGGUUAUUCAAGUCAGAGGUGAAAGCCUGGAGCUCAACUCCAGAACUGCCUUUGAAACUAGAUAGCUAGAAUCUUGGAGAGGUGAGUGGAAUUCCGAGUGUAGAGGUGAAAUUCGUAGAUAUUCGGAAGAACCCCAGUGGCGAAGGCGACUCACUGGACAAGUAUUGACGCUGAGGUACGAAAGCGUGGGGAGCAAGCAGGAUUAGAUACCCUGGUAGUCCACGCCGUAAACGAUGAUAACUAGCUGUUCGG
rnacentral:rRNA from 1 species